AGCAUGCCUGUGUUUUUGUAUUGUUGGUUUGGGAGUCUUGUUAGCAACAUGUUCGGUGACAUCACCUUUACUACUUACCCAUAAUAUGAGAAUAAUGGACAGAUUAUGAAAAGAAGACACCUGGUCCUCUGCACACAGAGCCACCUGCUGUUGAAAUUGGUACAUGGUUGAUAAGGGUUUUCCAGUGAUGCGAGGUAACAGAAUAAAAGUGUGUUAGGUUAUGUUAUGUGACCGUCCAGAUCUUGUUGAACCUCAUUGCGACUCCAAUUGUUUCCACUGCAGGAUUGGUCAGAAAGCAUGUGUUUCUUGAUUUAAAAUUCCUGUCAAUCGUAAAUGAAAAGUGCUGGCCAAACCACACACACACACACACACACACACACACACACACACACACACACACACACACACACACACACACUUUGGAUAAGGUGCAUUCUAGCUCCAGUUUCACUUACAAUGUAUCUUUUCAUAUGAUGUGAUUGUUCCAUCUUCCGCUAAUAAAAAGCUGUUUGUAAUUCAUUCAUGUUGAGGUGAUUCAUGAACUUCAGCUUGCAUUAAAAAUAAUAUAUUGACAGCAAGCUUGUUGCAAUACAGACAUUUGAAAAAAGUAACUAAUUUGAUAAUGACUUGACUUGACUUGCUUGACCAAAGCUCUGCUUGGACUUGACUUGCUUGAUCCUCCUUACAGACGACUUGGGACUUACUUGAGACUUGAGGGCUAAGACUUGUGACUUACUUGCGACUUGCAUGUAUGUGACUUACUCCCAUCUCUGAUAUUUAGAUAUACUUGUGUAUGGCAGGGCCAUAUUAGUAGACCUACUUGUUAAUAUGUAAUAAAAUGAAAACACAUUCAGCUGCAUUAAAGGCAUUAGAGGAGAUUUAAUUUCCUACGACUUGAACGUAGCAUGCGCAUGCGCACAUACAACCUCUCCCUCACCCCCCUCUAACCUCCCCCCUUUUAACAUUUACGAAGAAACGCCCCCCUCCAGGAACUUGCGUAGCACUCGUGAAGUUGUCUUUUACGGCUGGGUCCCCCUGGAUCUUUAUCUGACAUCAUGUAAAAAAGAUGAGCAAAACAAGUCGCCAGCUAACUACGAAGCUAUACCAAAGCAACACAUACAGAAAACACGUAAGUCCAAGGCGUACGUAAUCUACGUAACUAGGCCUGAGCCGGAAGAUUUUUGAUUGACAGGAAAGGGAGCAAACCAAACGCCUCGGUCCGAGCGCAUUGAUUGGCUGAUGUUUUUCAGGUCCUGCCAUGUCCACAGUUUUUUUUUUUUAAAUUCUUUUAGAAACCAUACAUACAAGUCCACUAAAGGUCAGUAUAUUCAUUUUAUAUGAAUCAGACAAAUUAAACAAAAAAAAAUCCUCCAUAAUGCCUUUAAUUUACACAAUAUUCAAAUAUCUUUACAGCAGCCCAGACUAUGGGAAAACCCCACCCCCUUUGAGCAAAAGUUAAAAUCCGCCCAGCAACAUUUUGCCGCCUUCACCGCUGUCUGCUGCUCUAGUGGUUUGUGAUCGGAUUUUGCACAUUUUCAGUUGCCUUCACCUGGUGUUCCCACUGUGGCUUCUCUUUGUCGUGAUUACAUUAAAAGCAUGUUACCAUUCGCAGUAGUCGAGUUUCCCAAUAAUAGUGUGGCAGUGAUUCCCACCAAAUGGUUUACCUCGCCAGCGGAAGAUGAGUGCUACUGGCCACCAGGGAAAGUUAAUGUGACGAAGGCAGUGAUAGACCAAAAAGAUCCUCAAAGUGACUGGAAAUUUUUUAAAC